UACGUAGGGUGCGAGCGUUUAAUCGGAAUUACUGGGCGUAAAGCGUGCGCAGGCGGCUUUGCAAGACAGAUGUGAAAUCCCCGGGCUUAACCUGGGAACUGCAUUUGUGGACUGCAUGGCUGGAGUGCGGCAGGAGGGGGAUGGAAUUCCGCGUGUAGCAGUGAAAUGCGUAGAUAUGCGGAGGAACACCGAUGGCGAAGGCAAUCCCCUGGGCCUGCACUGACGCUCAUGCACGAAAGCGUGGGGAGCAAACAGG
rnacentral:rRNA from 1 species